rnacentral:rRNA from 1 species
CUGAGACACGGCCCAGACUCCUACGGGAGGCAGCAGUAGGGAAUCUUCGGCAAUGGACGGAAGUCUGACCGAGCAACGCCGCGUGAAGGAAGAAGUAUUUCGGUAUGUAAACUUCUAUCGACAGGGAAGAAAAAAAUGACGGUACCUGAAUAAGAAGCACCGGCUAAAUACGUGCCAGCAGCCGCGGUAAUA